rnacentral:lncRNA from 1 species
GGGGGGUCCCGAGUGGAACAGUUUGAGAACUCCCUGCUCUAAAUCAAUAAAAUGUAUUUAUAAAACCCUUCUUACAUCAGCUGAUAUCUCAAAGUGCUGUACAGAAACCCAGCCUAAAACCCCAAACAGCAAGCAAUGCAGGUGUAGAAGCACGGUGGCUAGGAAAAACUCCCCUAGAAAGGCCAGAACCUAGGAAGAAACCUAGAGAGGAACCAGGCUAUGAGGGGUGGCCAGUCCUCUUCUGGCUGUACCGGGUAGAGAGGAACCAGGCUAUGAGGGGUGGCCAGUCCUCUUCUGUCUGUACUGGGUAGAGAAGGAACCAGGCUAUGAGGGGUGGCCAGUCCUCUUCUGGCUGUACUGGGUAGAGAGGAACCAGGCUAUGAGGGGUGGCCAGUCCUCUUCUGGCUGUGCUCUAGUGUGUGUGUGUGUGUGUAUAGAAAUCAAUUAGCCCCCAUGUCAUUACCAUUUCAGCAGGAAAUCAAGACAGUUGAAUGACCUGCGAUGUACUUUUAAAAAGGGACAUUUCCCAGAAAUCACGUCGACUGUAAAAAUGCUGCAGAUGUCUUGUUUUGAAUCCCUGCCUUUUUAUUCACUAGUUUAAAACCCAUAGAAUCAGCUUCUACUUCAUCACAUUUAAACCACGAUUAAGUUUAAGCUGUGUUUACUGAGGUGGAACUUCCUGAUGAUGCUGUCCCGACGGGCUGGGCAGGGCAGCGCCCCCCCACCCACCACUUCAUCAGUCCCGCUUCUCCUUCCUCCGUUCUCCCUGUGGCAUCUGAUGCCCUGUCUUGUGUUUCACUGUAUUUAAUGACAAAUAAACAUCACUUUAUGGUUGGACUCUUGUUGUACAGCGCCACCUUGUGGUUCAGGGAGUCCCCCUCACUACACCCCAACCAAAUUCACAUUAGAAAUAUGAGUUAUAGAGAUUGGUCAUUGAAAGCAAGUCUAAGAACCAGUAAGAGUGGGUUCUAUUUCUAUGCUUCCCAUUCAAAAUACAUUUUAUAACGAUUCUCUACAUGCUUGUUUUGUCACAUAUUCGGACAUUUUAGCAACCAGGAAAUGCAGG